GGAUGGACAGGAGGGAGAGUACAGAGCACUGGUGGAUGACUUUGUGGAGUGGUCUGGUAAGAAUCACCUGCUGCUGAAAGUGGAUAAGACCAGAGUGAUGGUGGUAUGAAGGGAACGGCUCCG